rnacentral:misc_RNA from 1 species
GCAGGGUUGGUUGUUGGUUGGUUUACUUUGGGCGGACCAAAAUGGCUUUCUCUCUUUUCCAUUUCACACUUGUACUGCUCCUCUCCUGUUUUGCUUCUUCUUUGCUCCAUUGCCAUGGCUUUCCGGCCCUCCACCACCACCGCCACCCUCGCUUUGCCAGCCACAACUACAGAGAUGCCCUCACUAAAUCAAUCCUUUUCUUUGAGGGCCAGAGAUCAGGCAAGCUCCCUUCUAACCAGAGGAUCACCUGGAGAAGGGACUCGGGUCUCUCAGAUGGUGCAGCCAUGCAUGUGAAUUUGGUAGGAGGGUACUAUGAUGCAGGGGACAAU